rnacentral:rRNA from 1 species
GACGAACGCUGGCGGCGUGCUUAACACAUGCAAGUCGAACGGAGCGAAUGAAAGCUUGCUUUUAUAAGCUUAGUGGCAAACGGGUGAGUAACACGUAGACAACCUGCCGACAGGAUGGGGACAACAUUCCGAAAGGAAUGCUAAUACCGAAUGAAGUGCAGGGGAGGCAUCUCCCCUGCAUGAAAGAUGGCCUCUGAAUAUGCUAUUACCUGUUGAUGGGUCUGCGUCUGAUUAGCUGGUAGGUGAGGUAACGGCUCACCUAGGCGACGAUCAGUAGCCGGUCUGAGAGGAUGAACGGCCACAUUGGGACUGAGACACGGCCCAGACUCCUACGGGAGGCAGCAGUGGGGAAUCUUCCGCAAUGGGCGCAAGCCUGACGGAGCAACGCCGCGUGAGUGAAGAAGGUCUUCGGAUCGUAAAGCUCUGUUGAUGGGGACGAACGUGCCUAAUGCGAAUAGCUUUAGGUAAUGACGGUACCCAUGAGGAAGCC